GAUGAACGCUAGCUACAGGCUUAACACAUGCAAGUCGAGGGGAAACGACAUCGAAAGCUUGCUUUUGAUGGGCGUCGACCGGCGCACGGGUGAGUAACGCGUAUCCAACCUGCCCAUCACUUGGGAAUAACCUUGCGAAAGUAAGACUAAUACCCAAUGACAUCCCACGAAGACAUCUGAAUAGGAUUAAAGAUUCAUCGGUGAUGGAUGGGGAUGCGUCUGAUUAGCUUGUUGGCGGGGUAACGGCCCACCAAGGCAACGAUCAGUAGUGGUUCUGAGAGGAAGGUCCCCCACAUUGGAACUGAGACACGAUCCAAACUCCUACGGGAGGCAGCAGUGAGGAAUAUUGGUCAAUGGGCGAGAGCCUGAACCAGCCAAGUAGCGUGCAGGAUGACGGCCCUAUGGGUUGUAAACUGCUUUUAUAAGGGAAUAAAGUGGGUCUCGUGAGACUUUUUGCAUGUACCUUAUGAAUAAGGACCGGCUAAUUCCGUG
rnacentral:rRNA from 1 species